rnacentral:misc_RNA from 1 species
UUUCCGUAGGUGAACCUGCGGAAGGAUCAUUAUUGUAUAACCGAGGUGCGAGGGCAGUCGCUGACCCGAAAGGUCGUGCACGCCCGAGUGCCCUCACACACAUCCAUCUCACCCCUAUGUGCACCACCGCGUGGGUCCCCCUUUGGCUUGUUCGGAGGGGGGCUUACGUUUUCACACAAACUUUGUAUGCAGUGUAGAAUGUAUUUUUUGUUUUUGCGAUCACGCAAUCAAUACAACUUUCAACAACGGAUCUCUUGGCUCUCGCAUCGAUGAAGAACGCAGU